CUUUGCCCCAGAAAUUUUGGUGUCACUCUUCCGAUUCUACGGUAAGAGUGGUGAAAAGGGAAUCAGGUGUAAGUCCUGAACAGACCCGCUGCUGUAAGCUCCGCCAAAAGUUUUCCCGCAAGACUCAAAUCCACUGUCUCGCUUUAGAGAGAUGGGAAGGGCGUUGGGAAGAUGGAGUAAGUCAGAAGACCUGCCAGAAUUGAAUUUCUGAAA
rnacentral:ncRNA from 21 species